GGUCACUGCUAUCGGUGUUCGUCUAAGCCAUGCGAGUCAUAUGUUCUUUGGAACAUGGCGUACUGCUCAGUAACACGUGGAUAACCUGCCCUUGGGUCCGGCAUAACCCCGGGAAACUGGGGAUAAUACCGGAUAACGCAUAUAUGCUGGAAUUCUUUAUGCGUGAAACGGAUUCGUCUGCCCAAGGAUGGGUCUGCGGCCUAUCAGGUAGUAGUGGGCGUAAUGUACCUACUAGCCGACGACAGGUACGGGUUGUGAGAGCAAGAGCCCGGAGAUGGAUUCUGAGACAUGAAUCCAGGCCCUACGGGGCGCAGCAGGCGCGAAAACUUUACAAUGCGGGAAACCGUGAUAAGGGGACACCGAGUGCCAGCAUCAUAUGCUGGCUGUCCGGGUGUGUAAAAUACACCUGUUAGCAAGGGCCGGGCAAGACCGGUGCCAGCCGCCGCGGUAACACCGGCGGCCCGAGUGGUGAUCGUGAUUAUUGGGUCUAAAGGGUCCGUAGCCGGUUUGGUCAGUCCUCCGGGAAAUCUGACGGCUUAACCGUUAGGCUUUCGGGGGAUACUGCCAGACUUGGAACCGGGAGAGGUAAGAGGUACUACAGGGGUAGGAGUGAAAUCUUGUAAUCCCUGUGGGACCACCUGUGGCGAAGGCGUCUUACCAGAACGGGUUCGACGGUGAGGGACGAAAGCUGGGGGCACGAACCGGAUUAGAUACCCGGGUAGUCCCAGCCGUAAACGAUGCUCGCUAGGUGUCAGGCAUGGCGCGACCGUGUCUGGUGCCGCAGGGAAGCCGUGAAGCGAGCCACCUGGGAAGUACGGCCGCAAGGCUGAAACUUAA
rnacentral:rRNA from 1 species